rnacentral:lncRNA from 10 species
GGGCUUCUGGGAGAUGGCAAGUUCGUGAGGCUGCAGCUCUGCUGGGGGAUCAGUGUCCUUCUACAAGCGGCUCCAGGGAGGUCCCUUGCCCCUUCCACCAUGUGAGGACCCGAGAUGGUGCCGUCUAUGAACCGGGAAGUGAGUCCUCUCCGGACGUGGAACAAGUUGGUGCCUUGAUUUUGAACUUGCAGCCUCCAGCACGGCCACUAGCACGUUUGAAGUCACACACAGGGUAGCGCCGGCCUGGACAGAGGCGGACAUCUGACAAGCGGGCCAAUGAGGAUGACAUCUCGGACGGUAGUCACUGCUACAACGAAAGUCAGUGCCCCACCUUGCCCAGCCGCAGGGUGGACCCUAAGCAGCUCGCCCCACCCAGCCGGUCCUGCCUGCUCUGUCCCUCCCAACCCUGCAAUGGGCAGA